UACCUAUAAGGUGAGUUGGGGUGUGCUCGUGACCUUUAAAUUUUUGUAAAGUGCCUCCCGACCUCAUCGAAAGUAAACAACAUGCCCACUCGAUUAAAUUCCGGCCAAAUUUUUAUCUAAUAGAGGACACAUGCCACUCACAUGUCAAAUUAAAUUAAAAAGGAUAAAAUUGUCCCCAUAUUUCUUAAUUACCUGCAAAAAAAAAAAAAGGAACAUAAGAGAACAGUGUAACGUAUCCAUGUUUUAGGCGACCCUAUCUCUCUUACCUCCAAUGCAGGCCAGUCCCCACGACCCUAUCUCCCCGAGUAGCUGCGGCGAUUCUCCCUGUGCGACCAGAUUACGGUGCAGAGACCAAACCCCUGCCCUAGUGACUCCAUCGCCAGUGAUUGGCCUCGACCAUGAUGACACUCUCCUCGACCAGACUUUGAUAUACAGUAACCAGCCUGCAAGCCCAUCUUCCCAAGUAGCCACGGCGACCAUCUCCCUGCGCGACCAUACUCCAGUUCAGGUGGGUGCCCCAUUUCUCUAUUGAAUUCGCCCCCUUUUCCCACUUCGUUCUGCAAUUUAAUGCAAUUGUUACGCAAUUCAAUGUCGAAUUAUGGUUAUAAUUGUCCUGCUUGGUUGGGUCGGUGUUGAUUUUGCUUAUUAAUUUCCCAAUGAUGGGCAUUGGGACUGGGUUCUUACAUUGGUGAAUUGAAGUUUAAAUUGGUCAAUUGGAGAUUCUGCAGUGAAAAUUGGGUCUGCCUUGUCAUAUUUCAGUGUUGUCUAUGUCUUGAGCUACCUUGGACAAGCUGAAUGAUGCAAACAAACUACCUUGGACAAGCUGAAUAAUGCAACAGUUGGAAAAACAACAUGAUGGUGGUUGUUUAUAAUACUUAUAUUUGGUCGUUGGUUGUAUUUGUUCAUUUUGUUUAGUCUUAGCUUUUGGUUGUUCCUUGGUGCAUUUUGUUUUGAUUUUGGUUCAUUUUGAGCUCUCUUAGGACAGUUGAAAUGACUGCUUUUAAACCAGGGAAUAGGAUAAUAGGAUUGACAUGUAAUAAUGCUAAUUUGUUCUGAGAUUUUGGUGAUUCAUGGAGAUGAGCACAAGCAGAUAAUUCUAAAUCAUGGCCUUACUUGAAUGAAGCUUUUUAACAAAAUUCCAGGGACCCUGCUGAGGUCGACAAGUUGUUGAAAAUUCUUGGAUGAAACGAAAAUCGAACAUGUAAGAGGAGGAUGUCCACAGGGAACACUGAGACUAUUGGUAAGAAGAGGAUGUCCACUGCGAACACCUAAUUUCAAUCCAUACGUCGGGAAGGAAAAGUGCAUAUAACCCUUGAAAAAAUAAAGAUGAUCAUUUAUUUCUAUGUUUGGUAAUAAAGUUUGAUUUUAUUUAACUUAAUUGAAUUUUAUUUUUUCCUCAAUUCAACAAUUCAACAAUACAAGAAUUACUUUUUAUUCAAAUUCUCUCAUAUUUUUUCUUAUUUAUUAUUACAAUUAACAUUUUAAUACUAAAAUCUCUCAACCAUUCAACACUUUUUAUCAAUUUCAAUACUUUUUUCUCAAUUUAACAACACAAUCAUUGCUUUUUAUCUUCUUUUUAAAAUUUCCUCACGUACUUUUUUCGACUAUUUUUGCCUUCAUCUCCUCAAAUCAAACUAAAUCAAAUUAAAUCGAACUUACCUCGUUACCAAACGCUAUGUACAUGUCACUUGUUCGAGAGAGAAUAGGAGAAUAGCAAAUGAGUAGAAAGUUUGGUUCAUCUUCUCGUAUAUAUGUAUAAUAAUAUACGAAAACUGAAAUAAAGAGCUUGGAUUUCGUAUUCGAGCAAUAACUAGAUUUGGACCUCUAUAUUGGGUUCUUUUGAUAUCCAUAAUAAGUUGGAAUUCAACGGAUUUGGCUAUUAUAUAAAACUCUGAACAAAUGCGAUCUAUAAGUGAUCGAAUGUGUACAUGGUCAGCAAUCGUAUCUUAGUUUAGUAACUUACAUGCAUAAAUUAUUAUAAGAUAAUUCGAAUAGCCAUUUUUAGAAUGAAAGACGUAUAUGCAUGAUCUUUAUUAACAGGACUUGUUUUUAUGUAAACAGGACACCCAACUGAAAAGUAAUGUAAUCAUAUGUUAAUAUUGUAAGAUAAUCACCUUGGCUUAGGAUGCUUUUAUCAUCAACAAUAUAAAAGAAUUUUUAUACGAUUGAUACCUAUCAAAAGAUUAUACGAUUGAUUAAUUUAAUCAUGAAAGGAUGACACUUUCCAGUUGCUUCGGAAUGGAGAUUAUGAACACAAAUUUCGAGGAUUCGUUACCAAAGCUUGGUCUUGUCAUUAAUUGAGUCGAUGAAAGUCAAAUAAAUAUUUUCAGAAUAGGAAUCCCACUAUAUUAUAUAUGUUCGUAUAAUCAACGGCAGCUACUUCCGGGGGAGUCUCCCUCAACGGAAAUGAUUAUAUGAAGCUUUUUUCAUCUCAAUGUGUCCAUCAAGUAAGAGGCAAGAAAACGGGAGUGGUUGAUGGGAUUAAUGGAACAAAAAGAGGGGCCUCAAUAGGGUGCGUGUCGAGAAUAAGAGAUAUCACACGUGCCAAAUUCUAUAUCAAGCGGUUAAAAAAUACACCCAUAUUAAUUCAGACUUGAGACAAGUAAAUCUGAGAGAGUGGUCGGUUGUUGAGGGUACGUGUUUAAUGGCACGUGACACAUGACAAUUUACAAUUGCCAUAUAAGAGUACCACAACCUACCAAUUCAAAUUUUGAGGUUAGAAAAUUAACUCAAUUGCUCAAGGGAUCAAUGAAAAUUUUAAAGUAGGAUGGAGAGGGGCUGGAAGGAAGGGCCCAAGGGGCAGGGAGAGAUAUUGAAUUCCUUUAUUGGUUAGCAACCGUAAGGGGUGGGGUGUUGAGAGUAGGAGAUAUCACAAAUGCUAAAUUUAGUAUCGAGGCAGUUUAAAGUGUAUAUCAUGUUAAUUUAGAUUGGCGUGUAGAAUUCGUGGCAAGUAAAUCGGAGAGUGUGAUCAGUUGUUGAGAAUACAUGUUUAAUGGCACAUGACAGUGUGUGACGCAGAGCUUACAUGUUAUCAUAUGAGGGCAGGUAUUGAAAUUAAGAGAUUCCAUAUGGAAAAAUUAAGUAAAAAACUACAAGUUCAUAGGAUAUUUCAUACCAUAAUCUAUCGGCUUGAGUUUUUAAAUUGAAGAUUAACCAAAUUAGUUAUAAGAUAUGUGAAAUUAUUAAAGUAGGAAGGAGAGGGGCUAGAAGGAAGGGGUUGGGAGCAGAGGUGGAGUCAAAUUACGUUUAUUUAUGAGUUUUUUUAUAUGUAAAAUUAGUAUUUUGCUCUGUUGAAAAAAAAUAUUUAUGUACUAUUUAUAUCAAGUAUUAUUUUUGUCAUUUUGAAUGAAAUUUCUGGCUCCGCCUGUGGUUGGGAGAGAGAUUAUUUAUUGGUUAGCAAUAGUCAGGGGGGUGUGGCGGUGAACGAUAACCCUCCAUAACCUACACCUUUGUUUGGAUAGUGACGCUGAUGCGGCGGGGAGGGCGUUUUUCAAAAAGACUAUUAUACCCUUACGAGGACCAAAGGAGCUUUACUUUAUGUGUUAUCAAAAUGCUUGCCGGAUUUCGUAAAGAGUACUUUGCCGUCAUGAUAGUAAUAUGUCCGCCAAAAAUCGAAUUCAAACCAGUACAGACUCAAUUUGCUGAAUGACCAUCUUUGUGAAGCGAAUUCGGUUCCAAUUCCAUAUCCGGCAUGGCAGAUACCAUCUAAAUGUAUCACGGGAACGUAUACCGUCUAAAUUGUUCACUUGGAUUUCAUUUGCAAUGAAUGCUUAUUCAGCCAAAAGAAUAGAAGAAAAACUCUGCUGACUCUGGUAAACUUCCAGUUGAUCAGCUUUUAUUCCAGUCUCAUCACAGGGGAGAAAUCAUGGCUCCUCGCCGACGGCGCAUGGGAUGCACGGAGGAUUUUCCAUCUGCUCUGGAGGAGUGAUUCGAAACAGACAGAACUCGUGAAACGCAUGGCCGCAAGGCAGAACCGCUGUCCUCGGUAGGAUUGCUGGAUUCUCCACAAUGGGUCCUUCUGGUGGGUAUGAGAGAUCCCUAUGGCAGAAGAAACACUUCUCGCCAGUAAGCUGAUGUUUCUCUCCUGCAAAACCAGUUUUAUUGGGACGGAUGCUUUCGCUGUGUUAUCAUCAACCGUAGUAUGCAAUCAUUAAUGUACAAGAUUUUUUGUGGAUUCCAAAAACGUCACAUUGCUUGAGUCUCAAGUUUUAUGAUCUGGGGCAAAUCGGUUAUAAUGAUAGCGACUGAAGAAAAAUUUGGAAGCAAAGGGAUGGCAGUUCUCAGCUGUAUAUCAGAAACCAGAGAAUGUACCUUCACAUCGUAUUCGAUCAAUGGGAGUACUCGGAGGGGACAGAGCUGAUGGAGGAAUAUGUGCAUUUGGAUCAAUGGACAAAGAUGAAGAACCUCUUUGUCUACCUCUGCGCUGAAGAGAUGGGAUUUUCUGAACUGAACUUUGCGACAAAGGUACGUAGCUCCUGGCCCGGGCUGACAUAGGCCUCGAUGCUCUUGCCCUUGGUUGAACAGGUCGGAGACCCCAGUGAAUGGGCCCUGGUAUCUGGGCUGGGAUAGAAGAGGCUUGAGCAGCCUGCCCUAACUGAGGCAGGUAUAGCCCCACCUGGGGUAGGGCCGGUCGACUAGCCUCGCCUUGAACCGGAAGAGAUGGCGGAGGAGUAGUCCUCCUAUGAGUUAUGCCAGGGUUAACAAGAGCAUGCCCCAGGGCGGUCCUCUUAUGGAAUUGACAGCCAAGCUGAGAGCACUGGGGAUGCUGAAGGGAACUUGCAGCUGCUCGUACUUGACCUGCACAUGAUAACCAUCAUAUGAUUACCUAUACGGACUAAAGAUGCUCACUGCUCGGUCGUGUGGAAACUAGAAAGAGAAGAAAAGGUACCACGGGAAUUGCGGCUAGAGAGAUUGGUAUGAGGUUGAACUUGGAGACCACGUUGAGGUUGGCCUACGUAAACUGCAUGAAGAAGGAAACCCAAAGUUACACUUCGAGACCGACCCACUCUUUUCUUAACCGCCUCAGACAAUUGCAAGUUCAGUCACAAGUAAUAAGCAUGGGAGUUCCGGGGAGUCCAGGAGGGGCAAUCGUCAUUGGCCCUCUAGGUAAGAAAUUCCGCCCAAUUUGUGCAUGACUACUCUGCAUUCCAUGGAAGGCUGUUUGAGCAGCGCCAUGGAAAUUCGAGGAGGAAUGCAAUGGUGACUGCUUCUGUGCAUACUGUCUGAAACCUUGGAGCUCACCCUGGUUGCGAUUGAUUGACGGUAACGGCUGCGCUGCACGACCUUGACUUGGAAAAGGCAAGGUUCUAGAGGGUCCUCCAUUGAAGGCUCCAGAGUUCGCCAUAUGAUAUCCAUGCCUGUUAUUGGCAUUCUGAGUCCACCACGUGCCGAAUAAAGUUUGCCUCAUGUCCUGAACGGCUUGUAAAGGUUCAGGAUCAAAUAUCAUCUGGUCAUAUAUGCUUGGUGACACGCCAGCAACAUGGUCUGUUGGAGCAUGGAAGCCUCCGCUUGCAUUCGGAUCAGGUUGCAAGAAAUUCACAGGACCUUCUCGGCCAUGGGAAAGAGCCGCAUUGGCUUGGUGGGGAAAACUGGCACUAAUUGCAUGAGGGUAGCGACUGCUCGAAGCGCUGGGACCUGAGCUAAGCUCUGAACCACCCCUGAUUCCAAGAGCGAGAUAUGGCCCAUCACUUUCUUCUAGAGGUUGAAGCUGCUGGGAGUAUGAAUAUGAACUUCCUAGACCAGCUCUGGAUCUUGUCUCAUCGGUGAGACUCAACUCGUAGGAGGCAUCAGUAGCUUGAUUAGCAAUAGCCCCAGCAUCAAGAACGUUUUCACUGGGACUGGCAACGGGAGAAUUAUCACUCGAAAUUUGAUUCAGAAAAUCAAGAACGUUUUGACCUAUAAAAUCCUCAAAUGCAUCAUUGUUGGAGUCUGGUGCGGCGAUGGCACCGACUGGAUUUUGUUGAGGGUAAUACAGAGAUGAGCGAGCAUAGUGCUGCGGGCCGAAAACACUGAGAUCUUGAAUAGGCUCACCGGUCACGGGAUGCACCAUGUUGUUAGGAUCAGAUGAAAAGACCACAUUCUGUGAGCGCGACAUUCCGGGAGUGUGUCCAAAUGCAAAGGGCGAAACGGGAGCCUGUGGGGUGAAUGAAGAAUCAGUACCAGAGGCAACAUCAUCUUCUCUCUCUGGACUAGGCGAGAUGCGUUCUUGUUUAACUCUUACGCCGGAAGUAGAGGUCAAUGACCAAGAUCUUCCGCUCGAACUAUCUCUGUCCAUUAUAGCAAUUGAUUUUCACCGAGUUCUAAGAUUUUCCAUGCCUGAAAUAGAACACCGUCAGCAAUACAAAUCACAAGGACUAUCCAAACAAAGCAGACCCCAUGAAAGAAACAUUAGCAGGGUGAAGACAUCAGCAGCUGAUCAUCAAUACUGACGGAACGCAGAUGAUGCAGAGAAAAAAUGGGAACUUUGUAGCGUCGACACCACUGACAUGAUCGCAUGAACAAAGUGAGUGAACGAAACGAACGAGAAAGACCCCAAGACACGAAAAAGGACCAGGAAAGAUGGCUCGGCAAGGGAGAAACAUGACGAUGGAAACCCGAACUGGAAUGGGAAUGUGAACUCAAUGUUAAAGAACUGCAAGAACUACACCGGGCAUGGGGAUAAAAAACCGAGGUGAAUGAUAUGGAGGAAAGAUGGGCUGUACCUGACAGUAGAAACUCAGGCAACGAUUAAAGACCCACCCGUGGUCAUCUUGCAUUCAUAUCAAGCGAUCCCACAUAAAGAAGAUUGAAACCUGCGAGCUGAGACAGAGGAAUAUGCGAGUGACGAGGAAUCGAAUUGAAUGGAGAAAGACCAAAGACAAGAAAGAACUCAAAAGAAGUUCACAACACUUCAAGCGAAUGAAAGCAGAGCGAGAGAGAGAGAGAGAGAGAGAGAGAGAGAGAGAGAGAAUCAAAUCGGGCUGUUUUUUGGCGCUUAUUAUUGGGAGGGCUCGCAGGAGUUUCAAACGGUUCGGUGUGGGACCGGUUUUCGGCAGCUUACAGUUUACACUUUAUAUUCCAUAGAGGAACAACUGAAGUGAAGAAGCCGCGGACGGAAUUAUUUUUAUUUU